rnacentral:rRNA from 1 species
CGAGUAGCCAAGUCGGGAAGGGAUGAACGCUGAAGGCAUCUAAGCGUGAAGCCCCCCUCAAGAUGAGAUAUCCCAUACGAAAGUAGUAAGACCCCUUGAAGACGACGAGGUUGAUAGGGCAGAGGUGGAAGCACGGUAACGUGUGGAGCUGACUGUCACUAAUAGGUCGAGGGCUUAACCAA